rnacentral:rRNA from 1 species
CAGAGGAUGUUUCUGGCGCGGUGCCUUCCGAGUUCCCUGGAACGGGACGCCACAGAGGGUGAGAGCCCCGUAUGGUUGGAUACUAAGCCUGUGUGAAACUCCUUCGACGAGUCGAGUAGUUUGGGAAUGCUGCUCAAAAUGGGAGGUAAAUCUCUUCUAAAGCUAAAUACCGGCCAGAGACCGAUAGCGCACAAGUAGAGUGAUCGAAAGAUGAAAAGCACCUUGAAAAGGGGGUUAAACAGUACGUGAAAUUGUUGAAAGGGAAGCGCUCAUGACCAGACUUGUGCUGGGCAGCUCAUCCGGGGUUCUCCCCGGUGCACUCUGCCCAGUUCAGGCCAGCAUCGAUUUUUGCUGGGGGAUAAGAACGGCAGGAACGUGGCCCUCCUUCGGGAGGGUGUUAUAGCCUGCCGUACGAUACCCUGGCGGAGAUCGAGGUUCGCGCAUCUGCAAGGAUGCUGGCGUAAUGGUCAUCAGCGACCCGUCUUGAAACACGGACCAAGGAGUCGUCCAUUAGAGCGAGCGUUUGGGUGUAAAACCCGCACGCGUAAUGAAAGUGAAAUUAGGUGAGAGCUUCGGCGCAUCAUCGACCGAUCCUGAUGUUCUCGGAUGGAUUUGAGUAAGAGUUUUAACGGACGGACCCGAAAGACAGUGAACUAUGCUUGUAUAGGGUGAAGCCAGAGGAAACUCUGGUGGAGGCUCGCAGCGGUUCUGACGUGCAAAUCGAUCGUCAAAUAUGAGCAUGGGGGCGAA